GUGCCACCUGUGCUAAUAUCUUGUCUUCCUUACUUCCUGUCAAUCAUCUGGUAGCAUCUCUUCAGCCAGCUGAUGCCAGGCAUCUUCCUGCGAGGAGUAGCUCCGUUCAGGUAGGGUCUGAUGACCUGCAUGUCAAUCCUCUGCUCCUGGUCACCAAUGAUCACAGUUCGCCACAGACGACCAGAUGAAUCUCUCUCCUCUUCACCUUCACCUGGAAGACGCUUGGCAGUGGCCACAGGAGUGUCGUCUGGGUACAAGCUCGUUUCCAUUGUUGAUGAACUCCAGCGAGUCCGUCUCGUCAGGAGUCUCAAUGUCAUCUACGUUGAUGUCCAGGUCGUCGGGUGUUUCCAGGAAGUCGUCAGAGAGCACAGAGCCCUCACUCUGAUCCAGGGAAAGGUUCAUGUCAGGCGCGACCAGAGUACGGCGCUUACGCUGGGCGAUGGACUCGCCAACGUUCAGAGUGGUGGGAGGAUCUGGAACAGCAAGAGAGCAAUGUUUAGAUAUACAAUAUAUACAAUCAAAAUGAAUUAAUUCUGUUUGUCAUAUUUAUUCCACUUACUGGUUCUGUUGUCAGUGAGGCCACAUAGGGAAUCUCCAUCCUCUGGAAGUGGCCUGCAGAGACAGAGAGGAACAAAAUGAUGACAUUGUUUUCCUGCAACAAUUUAAUGAUUGUUUUGGUGUUUUUAUAAUUGUUAGUUAUGCACAUAAACAUGAAAAUAAAUUGCAAUGAUAAAAAAAAUACUGAAAUAAACUCUGAAGUGUACAGAA